CCCUCUGUACUGUACACGGUUCAGCAGGCUCAUCCUCCUUGACCAUAUCCAAUUGGUUAUUUCCCAACCAUAUGAGAAAAACCCCACAAUAUCAUACAUAAUCCAACAACUAGACAUAAAGCGUUGCAGCUCGCAAUGCUGAAAAGCAUUGAUCUGUUCUUCAAAGUUCAAGGAAAUAUAAAACAUGUUGACUAAUAAAUAACACUAAGUAUAUGAUUAACACCCUGA